rnacentral:rRNA from 1 species
CAGCAGCCGCGGUAAUACGUAGGGGGCAAGCGUUGUCCGGAGUGAUUGGGCGUAAAGGGCGCGUAGGCGGCCUUAUAAGUCUGGAGUGAAAGUCCUGUUCUUCAAGAUGGGAAUUGCUUUGGAUACUGUAGGGCUUGAGUGCAGGAGAGGUAAGUGGAAUUCCCAGUGUAGCGGUGAAAUGCGUAGAGAUUGGGAGGAACACCAGUGGCGAAGGCGACUUACUGGACUGUAACUGACGCUGAGGCGCGAAAGUGUGGGGAGCAAACAGGAUUAGAUACCCUGGUAGUCCMCRCUGUAAMCGAUGAAUGCUAGGUGUAGGGGGUAUCGACCCCUUCUGUGCCGCAGUUAACACAAUAAGCAUUCCGCCUGGGGAGUACGGCCGCAAGGUUGAAACUCAAAGAAAUUGAC